UUGAGGCCCCAUAAAUUGAAGGCCCGACUCCGUAGAGCACUUUGCACUUGCCCAAGAACGGGCCUGGUCAUAUACUAAAUAUCUUAAUGUUUUGGAUAGAGAUGUAAUAUCCCCGAUUUUGCCAGAUCGUGCUCCGAUUUUGCCAGAUCGUACUCCGAUUUUUUAAUCUUGCUGCAUCUUGUUUUAUAUGACUGCUUGAUUUGAGAAAAACUUAAAUCCUAACACAAUUUGUGUUUUCUCAAUGGCAAACAGAAUUAUUAUAGUAGAUCAUACAUAAACUUGCGGUUCUAAAUUAGAUCUUAGUUAAUGUGAUUCACCAAUUAUGAAAGUCUAAAAUGGCAUAAGACACACUAUGGUUUUCUGUUACUUACAAGAGUUUGUUUUAUAUGAUUUAUCAUGUAUAUUAAAAGUAGCUCAUUUGAUUGCAGUUGUCUCUGCUACCGAUUUGGGAAGAACAUGAAGCGAACUGGUCUUGGUUCUUGCUAUAUUCAGGCAUUUGUAUAUUUUCUUCUAGCCAUCUGUGAGAUGAUUCCUCCUCCUAUCGAGUCGAUCAAGCUUACAGAAAAUUACACCUUAUAGAAGAAAUAGAGCAUAGUAUCAUCAAUGAAUCUUGAAUCAAGGUUGCGAGGAAGUUUUAAAACAAUGGUUUUUCAUCUGAAUUGUAUCCCUGGUGUUUGCCCUGCAUAUUUUAUUUAAAAAGAGAAUGUAAUGAAGGCUCUAACAACAUCAAUUGUACUGGAAAAUAAGUCUACAUUUGCUUGGAGCAAAGAGAAUCAAAGUGUUUAUAAGUUGAGAAUGUUUUAGUUCAAAAUGUGUAGACAAUUUAAGACUCAAGCAUUCCAAAAUUACACACUUUUAAAAUUUUACCUCAUGAUGUUAGUUUGCAAAAGGUGCACAUAGAGCAUGUCAUUCUAAACUAAUGGGGUAUUAUUUUUACCAGCCCCUGUAGUAUAUAUUUUGAUUAGUGUCAUAGUAUUGAAAGAAUCCCUUAAUUAUUGUUCAAAACUUACAAGUGUUGUAUUAAUCCUUGUAUUCUCAAGUAGGCCUACAAGAGAGUUAAG